rnacentral:ncRNA from 1 species
AUAAAGUUUAAUUCUGGUUAAAAAAUUUAUUUAAUUUUUUUUUUAUAUGUAAAUUUUUGUGUGAUUUUAUUUGAAUUUAAAUAAUUUAAGUAGAAGGUUUUAUUUACAGUAUUUAGUUUUAAUAAUUUAAGAAAUUAAGAAUUAGAAAUAAAUUUUAGUAUUAACAAAUUUUGUGCCAGCAGUUGCGGUUAUACAAAAGAUACAAAUAAAUUUUAUUGGUUAAUAAUUAUAUGAUUUAUUUAUUAAAUUAAGAUUGUAUUUAUUAGGUGAAAUUUUUAAAUAUUAAAUUAAUUUAAAUAUAAGAUUUUAAUAUUAUGAAAUUUAUAUUUAAACUAGGAUUAGAUACCCUAUUAUUUUAAAUGUAAAAUUAAUUAUCAAAGUAGUAUUAGUUAUGAUCUUCAAAUUUAAAGAUUUUGGCGGUAUUUUAGUCUAUUUAGAGGAACUUGUUCUGUAAUUGAUAAUCCACGAUUAAUUUUACUUGAAUUUAAUAAUUUGUAUACCGUCGUUAUUAGAAAAUUUUAUAAGAAUUUAAAUUUUUAAUAUUUUUAAUUAAAAUAUAUAUCAGAUCAAGGUGCAGUUUAUAUUUAAGAAGAAAUGAGUUACAAUAAAUUUAUUUAUACGGAUUAGAAUAUUAAUAUAUUUUAUGAAGGUGGAUUUAAUAGUAAUAAAAUUAAUUUAAAUUUUAUGAUUUUAGCUCUAAAAUAUGUACAUAUCGCCCGUCGCUCUUACUUUAAGGUAAGAUAAGUCGUAACAUAGUAGAUGUACUGGAAAGUGUAUCUAGAAUGA